UUUUUUUUUUUUGUGGUUAUUUGCGGAGGUGAAAGAGAGGUCAGAUGAAAAAUUUGAGAUGUAGAUAGUAGCUACUUUGGUCUUGAUCUCAGGUGUCAUUUGGCAUAAGAGGGGGGUUCUGGUCUCCUUGAGAUGCAGCAAACGAAGGAGAAGAUGAAGAGAAGGGGAAGACGGAGAAAUGAAGAAUAAAUCUGGAGAAUGUGUUUUGACAGUUUCUAUUGGGACCUCCAAAUCUGCUCACUUGACCUCACUCUAUUAUGAAUUAUUAAAUGACAUAUAUAACCUACUAUAAAAUGACUAUUAAGGACAAUAAUUAUACCAAAAAAUUGUUAUAUUUA